GCGAGGAAAGGCGGGGGGUGAUAAGUGGCAACCUCCUCAAUCGAUCCAAGAUACGUUGUCGGAUCGAAGUUUGGAGAAAUUAAUGAAUUUUGAUAAAAUG
rnacentral:ribozyme from 1 species